rnacentral:rRNA from 1 species
GACCUGAACUCAGUCGAGAGCACCC